UCCGGCUUAUCACCGGCAGUCCCACUAGAGUGCCCAACUAAAUGCUGGCAACUAGUGGCGAGGGUUGCGCUCGUUGCGGGACUUAACCCAACAUCUCACGACACGAGCUGACGACAGCCAUGCAGCACCUGUUCUCCGACCUAUUGCUAGGAGGAAUCCGUUUCUGGAAACCGUCCAGAGAAUGUCAAGGACUGGUAAGGUUCUUCGCGUUGCGUCGAAUUAAACCACAUGCUCCACCGCUUGUGCGGGUCCCCGUCAAUUCCUUUGAGUUUUAGUCUUGCGACCGUACUCCCCAGGCGGAAUGCUUAUUGCGUUAGCUGCGCCACCGAAGCGCAAGCUCACCGACGGCUAGCAUCCAUCGUUUACGGCGUGGACUAC
rnacentral:misc_RNA from 1 species